ACUCCUACGGGAGGCAGCAGUAGGGAAUUUUCCGCAAUGGACGAAAGUCUGACGGAGCAAUGCCGCGUGAGUGAUGAAGGUUUUCGAAUCGUAAAGCUCUGUUGUAAGGGAAGAAUAGCAAGAAUAGGAAAUGAUUUCUUGUCUGACGGUAACCUUACCAGAAAAGCCCACGGCUAACUACGUGCCAGCAGCCGCGGUAAUACGUAGGUGGCAAGCGUUAUCCGGAAUUAUUGGGCGUAAAGCGCAUGUAGGCGGCUUUUUUUAAAGUCUGAUGUGAAAGCCAGUGGCUCAACCACUGAAUUGCAUUGGAUACUGGAAAAGCCUAGAAUCUUGGAGAGGUAAGUGGAAUUUCAUGUGUAGCGGUGGAAUGCGUAGAUAUAUGAAGGAACACCAAUGGCGAAGGCAGCUUACUGGACAAGUAUUGACGCUGAGAUGCGAAAGUGUGGUAGCAAACAGGAUUAGAUACCCUGGU
rnacentral:rRNA from 1 species